rnacentral:rRNA from 1 species
UACGUAGGGUGCGAGCGUUGUCCGGAAUUAUUGGGCGUAAAGAGCUCGUAGGCGGUGUGUCGCGUCGGCCGUGAAAACCUGCAGCUUAACUGUGGGCUUGCGGUCGAUACGGGCAUCACUGGAGUUCGGCAGGGGAGACUGGAAUUCCUGGUGUAGCGGUGAAAUGCGCAGAUAGUCAGGAGGAACACCGGUGGCGAAGGCGGGUCUCUGGGCCGAUACUGACGC